rnacentral:sRNA from 1 species
GUUGAUUAAUGUGGGAUACCAAGGCUCUGAACUCAGGAUGCAUCCUUCCACCUUGGCUGCACUGGGAGUGGUGAACAGAGAAGACAUACGCCUGGCUCCAUCAGAUCGUGGAUUCUCCUUUAUUCCCAUCAAUGGACAUAUAGAAGCCCAGCAUAAACAGAUGUGAAGAGGAAGGUUUUAAUACCAUAAGUACAGCAAUAUGCAGAAAUGCACAGACUUCAGUGGAAGUACAGACGAGGGAAGCAGAUCUACUCUGAGAGGCACAGCCUGCUUCUACUGAAGGAGAGUUUUCCAGGAAUGUGCAAGACAACAUUUAAAUGUUAAAUUAAAUCUUAAAUGUUAAUUACUCAGCAGUCAAGAGGAGGGCUGUCUGUGAUGCAGAUUCCUUGUGUGCUUGAGAAAAGACUUUAAGCUUCCAGGUCCCAAGAGGGACUGAUGCUUCAGUGCGCCCUGCAUCACAGCAGCAUAGGAAGUGCUGUGAAGUACAUCUUCGUAUGCCCUGUUUACACACCUACACUAAACUGCCUUUGAGAAAUAAGUGCUUAGAUCACAGGAUCCAUGUCCACACCAAGUCCUGUUUGCGCAGGAUUCAGUCUUUAGUCUUGAAGGAUGAGCUAUGCCUCUGCAGUUCUGCAGAGGACGCCGUGGAAGCUUGAGGUUGCACACCGGUACAACUGGAACUGUGGCCCAUCGCUCCUGGUCCUCCAGCUUCACUGCCAAGUGCUACUGAAUAAUGUCACGGCACUGGCAGAUAACCUCAACAGGGAAGAGUAAAUGAACAGCACAGUUUGCCUGACCUCACGGCUGAAUCUGGAGCUCACAGUGCAAGAACGAAAAUGCUGAGUUCAUAUAUAAAGAUGUUGGAAAUUUAUAA